rnacentral:rRNA from 1 species
CCUACGGGUGGCAGCAGUGAGGAAUAUUUUUCAAUUUACUAUAUUCUUAACCAUCCAAUUAUCUUUAAUGAUUACUUCCCUAUUUGUUUUAAACUUCUUUUAUAUGGGAAUAAAAUGUUCCACGUGUGGGAUUUUGUAUGUACCAUAUGAAUAAGGAUCGGCUAACUCCGUGCCAGCAGCCGCGGUAAUACGGAGGAUCCGAGCGUUAUCCGGAUUUAUUGGGUUUAAAGGGAGCGUAGGUGGAUUGUUAAGUCAGUUGUGAAAGUUUGCGGCUCAACCGUAAAAUUGCAGUUGAAACUGGCAGUCUUGAGUACAGUAGAGGUGGGCGGAAUUCGUGGUGUAGCGGUGAAAUGCUUAGAUAUCACGAAGAACUCCGAUUGCGAAGGCAGCUCACUGGACUGCAACUGACACUGAGGCUCGAAAGUGUGGGUAUCAAACAGGAUUAGAUACCCUGGUAGUC